AGUGUUCCGGCCGGUGCGGCACGGGGGCGCUUCGCGGGUGUCGGGGGCCGCGUUGCGGCCGUUCCGGGGCCGCCGGACACUG
rnacentral:tRNA from 1 species